rnacentral:rRNA from 1 species
UACGUAGGGUGCAAGCGUUAAUCGGAAUUACUGGGCGUAAAGCGUGCGCAGGCGGUUAUGUAAGACAGGUGUGAAAUCCCCGGGCUUAACCUGGGAACUGGCAUUUUGUGACUGCAUAGCUAGAGUACGGUAGAGGGGGAUGGAAUUCCGCGUGUAGCAGUGAAAUGCGUAGAUAUGCGGAGGAACACCGGAUGGCGAAGGCAAUCCCCUGGACCUGUACUGACGCUCAUGCACGAAAGCGUGGGGAGCA